rnacentral:rRNA from 1 species
UCGGCUUGCAGUGGGGAAUAUUGCACAAUGGGCGGAAGCCUGAUGCAGCGACGCCGCGUGGAGGAAGAAGGCCUUCGGGUUGUAAACUUCUUUUAUAGGGGAAAAUAGUGAUGGUACCUUAUGAAUAAGCCACGGCUAACUCUGUGCCAGCAGCCGCGGUAAGACAGAGGUGGCGAGCGUUGUUCGGAAUUACUGGGCUUAAAGGGCGCGUAGGUGGUGAUACAAGUCCGAGGUGGAAUUCUGCAGCUUAACUGUAGGAUUGCCUUAGAAACUGUAUUACUUGAGUCGGACAGGGGAAGGCGGAAUUCCUGGUGUAGCGGUGAAAUGCGUAGAUAUCAGGAGGAAGGCCUGUGGCGAAGGCGGCCUUCUGGGGCUUGACUGACACUGAGGCGCGAAAGCGUGGGGAGCAAACAGGAUUAGAUACCCGAGUAGUCCAAGCCGAAU